UCGAGAAUCUUCCACUAAUGUGCGAAAGCAUGAUGGAGCGACGCCGCGUGGGGGAUGAAGGCCUUCGGGUUGUAAACUCCUGUCACAUGGUCCUAAAACCGCAGAGUUAAUACCUCUUGCGACUGAAGUGCCAUGAGAGGAAGCACCGGCUAAAUUCGUGCCAGCAGCCGCGGUAAUACGAAUGGUGCGAGCGUUGUUCGGAAUCACUGGGCAUAAAGCGCGCGUAGGCGGUGGUGUAAGUCAGCUGUGAAAUCCCUCGGCUCAACCGAGGAACUGCAGCUGAAACUGCGCCGCUUGAGGGCGGGAGGGGAGAACGGAAUUCCUGGUGGAGCGGUGAAAUGCGUAGAUAUCAGGAGGAACGCCGGAGGCGAAAGCGGUUCUCUGGCCCGCAACUGACGCUGAGGUGCGAAAGCUAGGGGAGCAAACAGGAUUAGAUACCCCCGUAGUCC
rnacentral:rRNA from 1 species